AGGAUAGUAGUUAACUAUAACAUUUGGGUUGCAUACAAAAGGUAUUGAUCAAUUUCAAUCUAUCUU
rnacentral:tRNA from 1 species